rnacentral:misc_RNA from 1 species
CCCCCGCAGUUUCCAGCCCUACAUUUCCGUCCAUAGUAAUCACGGAUCUCUCCUCCACAAUCUUAACAUCAUUAUCAUCCUUAUUACCCACAAGGUCAUCUCGUGACCUCCGGUCCAAAACCAUAGACCUCCAUUCUCUUCCAUCUUCUUCAAUAGCCUCAACUUCUUCGAUACUGGAAUCCUCAGAUACCGUCUCCUUCUCAGGCUUCUCAAGUUCGUUAUCAACAUCAAUUACUUGCUUAUCU